rnacentral:rRNA from 1 species
AUUGAACGCUGGCGGCAGGCCUAACACAUGCAAGUCGAGCGGAUGAAGAGAGCUUGCUCUCUGAUUUAGCGGCGGACGGGUGAGUAAUGCCUAGGAAUCUGCCUGGUAGUGGGGGAUAACGUCCGGAAACGGGCGCUAAUACCGCAUACGUCCUACGGGAGAAAGCAGGGGACCUUCGGGCCUUGCGCUAUCAGAUGAGCCUAGGUCGGGUUAGCUAGUUGGUGAGGUAAUGGCUCACCAAGGCGACGAUCCGUAACUGGUCUGAGAGGAUGAUCAGUCACACUGGAACUGAGACACGGUCCAGACUCCUACGGGAGGCAGCAGUGGGGAAUAUUGGACAGUGGGCGAAAGCCUGAUCCAGCCAUGCCGCGUGUGUGAAGAAGGUCUUCGGAUUGUAAAGCACUUUAAGUUGGGAGGAAGGGCAGUAAGUUACUACCUUGCUGUUUUGACGUUACCGACAGAAUAAGCACCGGCUAACUUCGUGCCAGCCGCCGCAGUAACAC